rnacentral:lncRNA from 1 species
CAUAUGCAGCCCGUUCUGUUGCUGGACACAACAGUUGUAAGAAAGGUCUUCUCAAUGGUGCAAAAUCUGGUGCUUCUACUCCUUUGAGCCAAUGCAGAGUACAUCUUCCUCAAGCAGCCCAUCAAAUGACCGCAGGCUCUGAGGACACCCCUGACAAAGCCUCCAAGCCAGAAGAGGGAAGGAAAGCACCAGACACAUCGUCCUGAGAUCUGUGAUUCUGGAGUGUGCGACAGAAGCUUUUGACAAAGAGGUGAAAGCAGUUAGUUAAAACCUGGCCCAACAAGUGGAAGAACAAGUGAUACACUCUAGGAACGGUCACCACAAGGGAUAACCUACACGAGGAACCUCCCUCGAGAGAACCCAGAAGAAGCUCUCACCAGAACACCAGCAGGAGAGCCACAGUUCAGAGGGCAACCACUUCAGACACAUGCCCUCGCUGUAAGUAGGCCUCGGUCUAUAUCUCAGUGGCUGAUGGUGAUAUCAAGUUCAUGCUCAGUUUUUACAAGCUAACAAAAAUAUAUAUAAAAGCUCUCCUCAAAUAAAUGCAUAUUGUACUCUAAAUACACAAAGAUCAUUUCAUUUUUAUUUUAAGCUUUUAUUUUAGGUUCAAGGGUACAUGUGCACAUUUGUUAUAUAGGUCAACUGUGCCACGGG